rnacentral:rRNA from 1 species
ACGUAGGGGGCAAGCGUUGUCCGGAAUUAUUGGGCGUAAAGGGCGCGCAGGCGGUCUUUUAAGUCUGAUGUGAAAUCUUGUAGCUUAACUACGAGCGGUCAUUGGAAACUGGAAGACUUGAGGACAGAAGAGGAGAGUGGAAUUCCACGUGUAGCGGUGAAAUGCGUAGAGAUGUGGAGGAACACCAGUGGCGAAGGCGACUCUCUGGUCUGUAACUGACGCUGAGGCGCGAAAGCGUGGGGAGCGAACAGGA